rnacentral:rRNA from 1 species
UACAGAGGGUGCGAGCGUUGUCCGGAAUCACUGGGCGUAAAGGGCGCGUAGGUGGCGUCGCAAGUCGAUGGUGAAAGCUCGGCGCUCAACGCCGAGUCGGCCCCUUGAUACUGCGAGGCUGGAGCACUGUAGAGGCUAAUGGAAUUCCGGGUGUAGCGGUGGAAUGCGUAGAGAUCCGGAAGAACACCGGUGGCGAAGGCGGUUAGCUGGGGCAGUUGCUGACACUGAGGCGCGACAGCGUGGGGAGCAAACAGG